GACGAACGCUGGCGGCGUGCUUAACACAUGCAAGUCGAACGAUGAAGCCUAGCUUGCUAGGUGGAUUAGUGGCGAACGGGUGAGUAAUACGUGAGUGACCUACCUUUGACUCUGGGAUAAGCCUGGGAAACUGGGUCUAAUACCGGAUACGACCAAUCUCCGCAUGGGGUGUUGGUGGAAAGCGUUAUGGAGUGGUUUUAGAUGGGCUCACGGCCUAUCAGCUUGUUGGUGAGGUAAUGGCCUACCAAGGCGACGACGGGUAGCCGGCCUGAGAGGGUGACCGGCCACACUGGGACUGAGACACGGCCCAGACUCCUACGGGAGGCAGCAGUGGGGAAUAUUGCACAAUGGGCGCAAGCCUGAUGCAGCGACGCCGCGUGAGGGAUGACGGCCUUCGGGUUGUAAACCUCUGUUAGCAUCGAAGAAGCGAAAGUGACGGUAGGUGCAGAGAAAGCGCCGGCUAACUACGUG
rnacentral:rRNA from 1 species